rnacentral:rRNA from 1 species
UCGGGAUAACACCUGGAAACAGAUGGCUAAUACCGGAUAACAACAGAUGAUGCCUAUCAACUGUUUAAAAGAUGGUUCUGCUAUCACUCUUGGAUGGACCUGCGGUGCAUUAGCUAGUUGGUAGGGUAACGGCCUACCAAGGCGAUGAUGCAUAGCCGAGUUGAGAGACUGAUCGGCCACAUUGGGACUGAGACACGGCCCAAACUCCUACGGGAGGCAGCAGC